GUCCACGCCGUAAACGAUGAUAACUAGCUGUCCGGGCCUUUCAGGCUUGGGUGGCGCAGCUAACGCAUUAAGUUAUCCGCCUGGGGAGUACGGUCGCAAGAUUAAAACUCAAAGGAAUUGACGGGGGCCUGCACAAGCGGUGGAGCAUGUGGUUUAAUUCGAAGCAACGCGCAGAACCUUACCAGCGUUUGACAUGUCUAGUUUAGUUUCCAGAGAUGGAUUCUUUCAGUUCGGCUGGCUAGAACACAGGUGCUGCAUGGCUGUCGU
rnacentral:rRNA from 1 species